UGGGGUUGUGGCUCAGUGGUAGAGUGCUUGCCUAGCAUGUGUGAGGCACUGGGUUCGAGCCUCAGAACCACAA
rnacentral:tRNA from 1 species